rnacentral:misc_RNA from 1 species
GGCUGAUCUUGGUAUUGAUGCUGGACUAUAUGCCCGUGAAUUGAUGUCUCACUCUUUAUCUGCAAUUCAAGAUGAACCAAAAGGUUCUGUAGACCUAAUCAGAGUGCUGGAGAAAGCUUACGUGAGAACAAAAGCAAAAGGCUCUUGUACAGCGUGUAUCGUUGCACUCACUGAAGGGGGUCUUUAUGCAGUUAAUUUAGGAGAUAGCGG